UACGAAGGGGGCUAGCGUUGUUCGGAAUCACUGGGCGUAAAGGGCGCGUAGGCGGCCCGUCAAGUCCCGUGUGAAAGCCCCCGGCUCAACCGGGGAACUGCACGGGAAACUAGCAGGCUUGAGUUCGGGAGAGGGAAGCGGAAUUUCGGGUGUAGCGGUGAAAUGCGCAGAUAUCCGAAGGAACACCGGUGGCGAAGGCGGCUUCCUGGACCGACACUGACGCUGAGGCGCGAAAGCUAGGGGAGCAAACGGG
rnacentral:rRNA from 1 species